rnacentral:lncRNA from 1 species
UGGAAUUUUGGUGUGGUGCUUAUGAGGAUUGAGUGUGGGGAGAGAGAAUCAGAAGAGAAGAGGCUCCCCUUGGUGUUUAAAGAUUGGUCAUCACUUUGGCAAGCAUGAAAGGCUGGGGAAAUUUGGUACUUCUUGGGCUUAUUGGUCCACUUGGAGACUUGGGUUUGUUGCUUCUUGGGGUUUCGAAGGGGAUUUCUUGCUCAGAAUUCCAUGUUCAAAUCAGUAUGAAUCAAAGAGGCUGAGAAGGUCUUCUUCUGCAGCCCCUUUUUUUUUCUUUUUUUUUUGAAAAAAAAAGGGUAUAGCCGACCGGCUAUACUCUUAAUAUUAUUGAAGGCAUACCGCCGCUCGGCUACACCUUUUAAAUAUAUUUUUUAGGGAGUAUAGCCGCCCGGCUAUACUAUUUAUAAAAUAAAAUAAAAAGGAACCGCCUAGCCCGCCUAGGAGGCCGAUUUUUGGAAAACCUGAAUGGCGUUUGUUUUUUUUUUUUUUUUUUUUUUCAAAUUUCUUUUUUUCCUGGCGAGUCUGGCAUCUCUGCAAAUGCAUCAAGCUUGGGUUUUAGCGACUCACGUUUAUAAACAACGUAAAGGCGUCUCUGAAAAUCAGUAUUUUCCAUUCUCUGUUUUGGUUUAUGUUAUGUUUGGUUGCUAGGAAGCUGAUGAUGAACAAAUAUUCUUUUACCUAAAUAUUCAGUUUCAUGUUUCCUUUGUUGUAUUGAUUAGUUUAGUUACAAACUGAGUUGGUCUGGUUAACUGACCCAAAAGGAGUAUGCUGCUUUCUGGGGCUCCA